GUUUCCACUGGCAGAAAAUCAUGGAAUGAAGCUCAGAGAAGGAAAACACUUGAAAGAUGUCUGGUCCUUGGUUCAGCUGUUGUUGCUAGACAAGUUAACACCCAGCCCAAUCUAAGCAGAUGUCUGUUUAAAAUGAGGGACAGAAAAUGAUGCCAGCUAGACUGUUGAAAUUUAUAUUUCAAUUUUCUUUAUAUAUUUUUUCUCGCUUUAUUUUGUUUUGUUUUGAUAAGGAGACGUCUGGAAAUAAAUAUCCUUGCAUUUAUUGCCAGGUACUUUGUUCACUAACAAAGUACAUCUGGCAGCACUUCCCUCGUGUUGCUGCUUCUUCCUGCUCCUGCUCUCCAUCAACCAAGGUUUUUGUUGACAUUGGUGUCAGAAGUGGGACCCGAAGUAACCCCCGGACCCUUCCCUGCACUGUCUUGGAUCAUCGCAUCAGCACCUACAAGAGCCCCGUGAGCUCAGUUGCUCUUUGGCAGUGUUGAGAGACUUCUGGCAAACUCCUUGGAGAUGAAGAAUCAAGGCAUAAUCCACCUCCUGGAGAUUUUAUUUAUUGGAAAUUACACCAACUCAAGGACUCUCUACAGUCUCAUUGGAAAAGGCCUUACAAGGAGACAAGUGGGAAGAAGUGUGAAAAUGUGAUU
rnacentral:lncRNA from 1 species